AUGGCUGUCGUCAGCUCGUGUCGUGAGAUGUUGGGUUAAGUCCCGUAACGAGCGCAACCCCUAUCCUUAUUUGCCAGCACAUCAUGGUGGGAACUAUAAGGAGACUGCCGGUGAUAAACCGGAGGAAGGCGGGGACGACGUCAAGUCAUCAUGGCCCUUACGACCAGGGCUACACACGUGCUACAAUGGGAAGGACAAAGAGCCGCGAAGCCGCGAGGUGUAGCUAAUCUCAUAAACCUUUUCGUAGUCCGGAUUGGAGUCUGCAACUCGACUCCAUGAAGUCGGAAUCGCUAGUAAUCGUAGAUCAGAAUGCUACGGUGAAUACGUUCCCGGGUCUUGUACACACCGCCCGUCAUACCAUGGGAGUGGGUUGCACCAGAAGUGGCUAGUCUAACUUUAUUGAGGACGGUCACCACGGUGUGAUUCAUGACUGGGGUAAAGUCGUAACAAGGUAGCCCUACCGGAAGGUGGGGCUGGAUCACCUCCUUAAGAAAAGCAUGAGUGUUCACACAAGUUGUUUGAUAAUAUUAAAGUAAGAGAAAAAAGACCAAUAACCCAAAGUCAAUUUAAUUGACAUUAAGGGUCUGUAGCUCAGUUGGUUAGAGCGCACCCCUGAUAAGGGUGAGGUCGGUGGUUCAAAUCCACCCAGACCCACCAUUUUCUGGGUUAUUAGUUUUCUAAUGGGGCUAUAGCUCAGCUGGGAGAGCGCCUGGUUUGCAUCCAGGAGGUCAGCAGUUCGAUCCUGCUUAGCUCCACCAUUUUUCUCUAAUGAAAACUUAAGUAAGUUUUAUUAAUAAUGCUUACUUAAGUUUUUAUACCAAGCCUUGGUUUAUUCCUUGGUUCGGAGCUCUUUAACAAUUUGGAUAUGAAGUAAAGUUUGUUAAAUACAAUACAACGUAAAAGGUGUAUUGCAUUGACACAACAAUUUCAAAAAAUAUGGAUUCUCAUUGAUAGAUUUAUCUAUCAUUGAAAAAAUAGAAUUCACCGAUUGUAUCGUGAGAUACAGUUAGUGACUUCUCGGUGUAAAAAGAACCAUUAACCCAGAUACUUUGGGGUUAUAUGGUCAAGUGAAUAAGUGCAUACGACGGAUGCCUUGGCAGUAGAAGGCGAUGAAGGACGUGAUAAUCUGCGAUAAGCUUCGGUUAGCUGAUAAUAAGCUCUAACCCGGAGAUCUCCGAAUGGGGAACCCGA
rnacentral:sRNA from 1 species